rnacentral:lncRNA from 1 species
AUGCUAAAAAUUAUUAUCCCAACAAUUAUAUUACUCCCAAUAAUGUGAUGCUCUAAGAACUCUACAAUCUGAAUUAAUACAGCUUCCACAGUUUACUUAUCUGUCUCAUCAGCCUGCUAUUCUUCAACCAAUUUAAUGAUAACUCUUCAACUUCUCAUUAACUUUUUUUUGUUCUGAUCCACUGUCAUCACCCCUUCUAAUCCUAACAGCCUGGCUACUAUCCCUUAUAAUUUUAGCAAGCCAAUAUAAUCUAUCCAAAGAAUCGUUCCCAGGAAAAAAAAUUUUAUAUAUCAGUACUAGCAGGGAUACAGAUAUUUUUAAUUAUAACAUUCACGGCCACAGAACUAAUCAUAUUUUGUAUUAUCUGUGAAGCCACACUAGCUCCCACCCUAAUUAUUAUUACUGGUUGAGGUAAUCAAGCAGAAUGCCUGAAAGCAGGCUUGUACUUCUUAUCUUAUACACUGGUAGGAUCCUUACCUUUACUUGUAGCACUUAUCUAUACACAAAAUGCCUCAGGCUCACUAAAUAUGUUAAUCACCAUAUAUACUACUCAAGAAAUAACAACUCUGGAUCUAACAACCUUCUAUGACUAGCAUGCAUCGUGGCAUUUAUGGUAAAAAUGCCUCUCUACAGACUCCACCUAUGACUUGCUAAAGCCCACAUAGAAGCCCCCAUUGCCGGCUCAAUGGUACUUGCAGCCGUAUUCCUAAAAUUAGGCAGCUACGGAAUGAUACAGGUCACUCUAAUCCUUAACCCCUUGACAGAAUUCACAGCCUACCCUUCCUUAUAAUAUCCCUAUGAGAAUAAUUAUGACAAGCUCCAUUUAUCUACGCCAAACUGAUCUAAAAUCGCUCAUUGCUUACUCCCCUGUAAACUACAUGGCGCUUGUUAUUGUGGCUGUUCUCAUUCAAACCCCUGAAGCUUUAUAGGUGCAACCACCCCUAUAAUUGCCCACGGACUAACUUUGUCCCUACUAUUCCGCCUAGCAAACUUGAACUAUGAAUGAGUUCAGAGCCAAACUAUACUACUUACUCAAGGCCUUCAGACACUACUCCCACUAAUGGCCAUGUGAUGACUUUUAGCUAGCCUCACCAACCUUGCCCUACCCCCUACCAUUAAUUUAGUAGCGGAACUCUUCAUAUCCAUAGCCUUAUUCUCUUGAUCCAAUCUCACCAUCAUUCUUAUGGGACUUAACAUGUUAAUCACAGCCCUCUACUUUCUGUACAUACUAAUCACCACACAAUGAGGGGUCUUCACGUAUCACAUCAACAAUAUUAAACCCUCUUUCAUUGUGAGAAAAAUACCCUAAUAUUAAUACACCUAGCACUGCUUCUCCUAUUAUCCUUAAACCCCCAAAUCAUUUGGGG